rnacentral:rRNA from 1 species
AACGCGAAGAACCUUACCAGGCCUUGACAUGGGGAGUAUGGGCACCAGAAACGGUGUCCUUCAGUUUGGCUGGCUCCCACACAGGUGCUGCAUGGCUGUCGUCAGCUCGUGUCGUGAGAUGUUGGGUUAAGUCCCGCAACGAGCGCAACCCUCAUCCCUAGUUGCCAACAGGUUAAGCUGGGAACUCUAGGGAAACUGCCGGUGAUAAGCCGGAGGAAGGUGGGGAUGACGUCAAGUCUUCAUGGCCCUUACGGCCUGGGCUACACACGUGCUACAAUGGCGGUGACAAUGCGCAGCUAGCCCGCAAGGGUAUGCUAAUCGCAAAAAGCCGUCUCAGUUCGGAUUGCACUCUGCAACUCGAGUGCAUGAAGCUGGAAUCGCUAGUAAUCGUAGAUCAGCGCGCUACGGUGAAUACGUUCCCGGGCCUUGUACACACCGGCUAC